CUGCUCGCACUUUCCAUAUGGAGCUGGGAGCGUCUGCCGGUUGGACGACCUAAGACCGUGAAGUACGAGGAUUGGGACGAUAAAGACGACCCACUACGGCUCCCCACUUGGGCUUACAAGUGGGAUGUGUUAAAUGAGACGACGGAUGAUCCCUCUGUAAUGUACAAGUUGUACAAGAGCGAGCUGGACGCGAUCACGCCUGAGCAGGUGAACCGACCUUGCAUAAGUGAUUAUCAUGCUUGUAUCUUCACUCGAUAUCAAUUUUGCAUUCAAUCCCAUUUUGCAGGUGGAAUGGGAGCCGUAUGGAAAAGGAGAGAGUUUUGGUAA
rnacentral:rRNA from 1 species